rnacentral:rRNA from 1 species
GAUGAUCAGGUAGAUAGGUCAGGAGUGGAAGUACAGUGAUGUAUGGAGCGGACUGAUACUAAUCGAUCGAGGACUUAACCAAU